UACGUAGGGGGCGAGCGUUAUCCGGAUUUAUUGGGUUUAAAGGGUGCGUAGGCGGACUGUCAAGUCAGCGGUAAAAUUGAGAGGCUCAACCUCUUCCCGCCGUUGAAACUGGUGGUCUUGAGUGGAUGAGAAGUACGCGGAAUGCGUGGUGUAGCGGUGAAAUGCAUAGAUAUCACGCAGAACUCCGAUUGCGAAGGCAGCGUACCGGCAUCCAACUGACGCUGAGGCACGAAAGCGUGGGGAUCAAACAGG
rnacentral:rRNA from 1 species